UGGGGAAUAUUGGGCAAUGGGCGAAAGCCUGACCCAGCAACGCCGCGUGAGGGAAGAAGGUUUUCGGAUUGUAAACCUCUGUCCUUGGGGACGAAGAAAGUGACGGUACCCAAGGAGGAAGCCCCGGCUAACUACGUGCCAGCAGCCGCGGUAAUACGUAGGGGGCGAGCGUUGUCCGGAAUUACUGGGCGUAAAGGGUGCGUAGGCGGUUAUUUAAGUCAGAUGUGAAAUCCCCGGGCUUAACUCGGGUGUUGCAUUUGAAACUGGGUAACUAGAGUGCAGGAGAGGGAAGCGGAAUUCCUAGUGUAGCGGUGAAAUGCGUAGAUAUUAGGAGGAACACCAGUGGCGAAGGCGGCUUUCUGGACUGUAACUGACGCUGAGGCACGAAAGCGUGGGGAGCAAACA
rnacentral:rRNA from 1 species